UUCUCACCGUCGCCAUUUUCUUUGACCCGCGAAUCGCGAUGCGGAGCAUACGAGGACGGAAAAUACAGAGAUUAAGUGUUUUAUGUUAUUCACACAGUAUUAAUUUUAUAACAUCACAUUGUUUUAGAAUGAUAUUUAUGUUCUGUGUGUGCGGCUCGCAGUGCAGAGCUGAACAGGACAGGAGGUUGAUUUUUAACAGGAAAACACUGAAAGCGACAUUUCCUUUGACUCACGGUGCAGACACUGAUGUUUUAACAGAGACAACACUGAAAUCCUAAACUUUUCUCAUAGAAAUCAUUUUCUUUGACUCGUCGUGAUACUGAGAAGACGAAGAUGUUGCUUUUUGGAAAAUACCAAAAAUGGUUCAUGCUGGAAUAACUGAAAAAUCAAAAAGAAAUGUGUUUGAGUAUAAAAUCAUCAGUACAUUGUCAAGUUGGAUGAAAAGAGCUCUUGUUAACAUUUUUUGGACACAUACAACAGGCAUGGCUCCUUUUGGAUCUGUGAGACCACACCAAUGUUGAUGUGGACCAACAAAUUAUCACACAGCUCUCUGUAAUGACACCCAGAGUCCUUCAAGUUUGCUGAGUCCCCUGAAGGAGAAGUUCAGGUGCAUGAUUAAUGACUGUGAAGAUGGCAGACUGAAAAAAGUUGGAAGCAGCUAUUCUGCUCUUGCCUGCUCUGUUCAAGGAGGACCCAGGGUUGCUGUUUGAAGUUGAGGGCCAUUCUCAGACCAGCCCAUCCCAACACCUAAGAUGAAUCUUAAAGGCUGUAGGGAGGGUCAUCUCAUGCAGUAUGACCACAUUGUGCUCACGUUGGAUGGACAGUUAAUCACAGAGGAGAGUGAGGACAUCUCGACGGCACUGAGACUCCUCCUGUAGCAGCGCUUCUCAAUUUCAGUCCUGCCGACCUGCCCCCACAUGUUGUACAUGUCUCACUUAUUUAACACACCUGCUUCAGAUCAUGAGCUCAUUAGAAAAGAGCUCCAUGAAUGAACUGUGCUCUGACUGACAUGGUCAAAUGACAUUUUGACAAAUGUGCUAUUAAGCUUCUUAUCUUUAAGAAUAUGUGCCAUAUAGUACCAAAAGAGGUUCCCCUAUGAUAAGCCAAAAAAUAAAAAUAAAACACUGCAAUAAAGUGCUAUAUGGCACCUCUUAUGGUUCUACAUAGCACCAUUGACAAAGGUGCUAAAUAGCACCUUUAAAGAUCAGUGCUAAAUAGCACUAAAAGUGGUUCCCCUAUGAUUACGAGUCAAAGAACCACUUUUAGUGCUAUUUAGCAGCAUUUUUUUUUUUAAGAGUGUAGCGUCGAGCGCUGACAUGUGCCUCGAGUUUCAGGAGUCAAUUAUCUCAACAGCUUUGCACAGUAUUAUCAAAUAUUGGAUGCAGAUCUUUUUAAUUACUUUAAUUUAACACAGUUUUUGAGUGAAUAUUGACACAAUUAUGCACAAAUAA